UACGUAGGGGGCAAGCGUUGUCCGGAUUUAUUGGGCGUAAAGAGCGUGUAGGCGGCCAGGUAGGUCUGCUGUGAAAACUCGAGGCUUAACCUCGAGCUGUCGGCGGAAACCAUCUGGCUAGAGUCCGGAAGAGGAGAAUGGAAUUCCCGGUGUAGCGGUGAAAUGCGCAGAUAUCGGGAAGAACACCAGUGGCGAAGGCGACUACCUGGCCUGUUCUUGACGCUGAGGCGCGAAAGCUAGGGGAGCAAACGGG
rnacentral:rRNA from 1 species